rnacentral:lncRNA from 1 species
UAUCCUACUGUUUUUGCAGAUAGUUGGAAGGGGAACGAUCCUUGUAUUAACUGGAUGGGAAUUACGUGUAAUGGUGGAAACAUUACUGUUGUCAAUUUUCGGAGCCUGGGUCUUUCGGGUACGAUCUCUUCAAAUUAUUCUCUGCUUACCUCCUUGCGGACAUUGAGACUUGACGAUAAUAACCUCACGGGUACCAUACCAAAGGAGCUUACGCAACUGCCCAACCUUCAACAGAUAGAUGUUAGUAACAACCAACUUUUUGGUCAAGUACCAAAGUUUAAGAAUGUGGACGUGAAAACAGAUGGGAACCCUAAUAUUGGUCAGGAUCAUCCCCCUUCGCCAGCGACGCCUACAAUUCCUAAUUCACCGCCUGCCUCCCACUCAGAUGGAGGUAAAAAAUCUAGGACUGGGGUGGUUGUUGGGGCUGGCAUCGGCUGUGUUGGCGGAUUGGUUGUAGUUGGGUUUGUUGCUAUCUGUCUACUUAAGAAAAAGCAUAAGCAUUCUGGCGGAGUGCAAAGUGCAAACGCAAGUAGGGGACCUAAUGACAUUCAUGUGGUUGAGGCUGGAAGUAUGGUCAUUUCGAUCCAAGCUUUGAGAGAUGUGACCAAUAAUUUCAGCGAAAAUAAUGUAUUAGGAAAAGGUGGUUUUGGAACUGUGUACAAAGGGGAGUUGCAUGAUGGGAAAAAGAUUGCAGUGAAGAGGAUGGAAUCUGGAGUGGUGGCGGAGAAGGUUCUAAAUGAGUUCAAGUCUGAGAUUGCAGUUCUUACUAAAGUCCAACACCGCCACUUGGUUGGACUUCUUGGCUAUUGUUUGGACGGAAACGAGAGGCUUCUUGUUUAUGAAUACAUGCCUCAAGGGACUCUUAGUAGAUACUUGUUCAACUGGAAAGAGGAAGGUCUGAAGCCACUUGAAUGGACUAGACGGCUGACCAUUGCCUUGGAUGUUGCAAGAGGGGUUGAGUAUCUCCACGGUUUAGCCAGCCAGACUUUCAUUCACAGGGAUCUUAAACCUUCGAACAUUUUACUGGGAGAUUAUAUGCGGGCUAAAGUUUCGGAUUUUGGACUGGUUCGUCUUGUUCCAGAAGGGGAAGCCUCAAUUGCGACAGGACUAGCUGGAACUUUUGGCUAUUUGGCUCCAGAGUAUGCAGGUAAAACAUUUCUAUAUGCACUCUUCUUUUCAAAUUCCAUUUGAGUACCGUGAAAGGUAUUUGCAUUGUAAAGUAUGAUUAAUAUUCCAGCAAAUGUCAUUGUUCAAUGAACUAAGACAACUAUGAGAUUAUCUCUCACUGAUUAUUCUUUGUGCGAACUGCCGGAAAAAAUCAGUGACCAGGACAGAAUUAGGAAAAUAAUAUUCUGUCAUGAAAGUGUGAUGGCAUGCUAAGUAGUUUAUAAUUUUCAAAAUCAGGGAUGCGAAGAAGAUAGAAAAGAAUGAAAUGGCUUUUGUCUGCGAUGAGCAUUUGUUGUCUCUAACAUGUUGACUGAAUUUAUAUGUAUCUGAUGUAGGAUUAUUGGAAAGGUUAACAAAACCAUUCAGCUCAGUAUUUUAUAGUGUCGUGUUGCAGACAUUUUCCGCUUGUUCCAUAAUUAAUGUAGCGUCUGUUCUGCGGUGCGUUUUCUUCUUGCUAUAGCCUCAUGGCAUUUGGUCAUAAGGUUUGUUGUACUUAAUCAUGCUUACUGUCUUUCGAUUAAUAAAAAUUCAAGGCACUAAAACCACAAAUUUGUAAUGUAUCAGCAACUGGGCGGAUGACACUCAAGGUUGACGUGUAUAGCUUUGGAGUGAUCUUAAUGGAGCUGAUCACGGGUAGAAGAGCAAUUCUUAAAAGCGAACCAGAGGAGAGCUUGCACCUUGUUACAUGGUUCCGCAGAAUGCUCAUUAACAAGGAUGCACUCCGGAAGGCCAUUGAUCCAACAAUUGAUCUCAAUGAGGAAACUCUUUCCAGUAUUAACACUGUCGCUGAGCUUGCUGGGCAUUGCAGCACAACGGAGCCCUACCAGAGGCCUGACAUGGGUCAUGCAGUCAAUGUUCUUUCGUCGCUUGUUGAGCGUUGGAAACCAUCUGAAGCCGAAGAUUCUGACGGUAUGUAGGGAAUUGACCUCGAAAUGACCUCAUGCAGUCAAUGUUCUUUCGUCCCUCGUUGAGCACUGGAAACCAUCUGAAGCCGAAGAUUCUGAUGGUAUGUAUGGAAUUUACCUCAAAAUGUCCUCGAUUCGGUAUAUCCACGCACAUGUAUACUACUACAAACCUCCAUUUCCCACUUCGUAUGUAUAGUAGUAGGAUGAUCCUUAGAAAAGGGGAGGAGCAAAUUGUGUAAAUGUUAUAUUUUUUGUAUGCCUUGUUUGAAUCUUUCUUCUGUGUUCUGAGGAAAGGGGUUUCAAUGCCUUCGAUUUGUACCAUUCUUUUUGUACAACUGAUUCGAUGUUUUGCAUUUAGACUUUCUGUGAAUAAUGGAAUGUACCAUAAUUGACAUGGGUAACGAUUACUUAGGGCCGUUUGAUAGUUAUUUUGAUUCGAGUUCUUUUUGUUUUGUCGAAAUAUUGUUCUCAAACGUUCCCUUAAUUCAGUAUCUGACGGUCAAAUAUGCGACUAGAAAGAGAGAAUGUCAUAUUUGAACAUAUUAGAAUGUUAGACGAUGAAUGUAUUAAGUAAAUGCAUGCAUAGGCAUGCAAGUCCAAACCUGAAAAUGCAAGAACAGAAGGCAUGUUAGGCGUAUGGACUUUGCAUUUUUUUGGGCUUCAGGGCUUGUGUUUUGUAAGAAUAAUUUCAAUUGGGCUUUUGUCCUCACCCUCUCAAAGAUUAAUGGAAUAAUUUUAAUUUAGAGAAAUCCGAAAACAAUUAUUUUUCAAAUCCUGAAAUAAAAAUAUUACUUUCACCACAUUUUAUCAUCUCUAUGAUAAAAGGUGGGAUCCACCAAAACAUGGUAAGUUAAGCAUUACUCUUAUUAUUGUAAUUUUCCCGUGUUUUGUAUAUCGUUGACAUUUGAUUGCUAUUCCGUGAAUAUUCAAUCCACAUGUCACUAUUUUUUUUCAUUUAGUUCAACAAUUUAAAUUGAAUAUUUGGUUAUUUUAACCAAAUUAUUUUUAAUGUUUUUUUAAUCUAUUUGAUUACUUGACCUAAUUUAAUCUCUUUUUUUUUUGUUUUUUUUAAUUAAAAUGCAUAUUAUUAUUAAAGAGAGCGAAGAUAAUUUGAAACUAUUACAAUAAUUUAGAGAAAGAGAGUUUCGAAACGGAAUGCAUAAAUGAAAAUUCAACAUCUUUUCAACAAGGAUAUUUGAUAAAAUACACGCUACUCAAGCCAAUUCAUCGACGUUCACGUCAACUAGAAUAGACACGCACGAGCACUAAUUAGGGUUUGGGCUUUUUAGUGACAUUCUAAGUUUGGCCAAUUCAGUAUUACUUUCCAAUCGGCAAACCAAAGCAAAUAUUUUGUGUGGCAUGCAUUAUUUAGGUUAGCAUUAUAUUAUAAUAAAUAUAGAAUAUUGGCUUUUCCAUCAAUUUUUGUAUGGUGCCACGUGGAAAAAGAAAACAAAUGUAGGAUCCCAUGUUACAUGUGGACAAAUUACAUCGGACCAGGAUAUUGGUCUUAAGUUUAUGGUCAUCGAUGUCCGACCUUUGGAUGGUCCAUAUAAUAUUUUGACGUUAUCUUCUUCGUCGACAUCUCUUCCGUACAAUCAUUUUAUGCAGCCGACCCGACCCAACCCAACUCGAAUGUGGUCCCGCUAUUGCCAUGGCUGGAUGUGGUCUUGCCACUUGAACAAUGAUAUGUGUGGUCACGUUUAUUAGUGCUGAUUUCAUGUGGUUUUGCUUUUCUGCAAUGAUUUUGUAUAUUCUUGUUAUUCGACGAAAACAAGUUGUAAUUACCGAUACGAAUCUAUUACGCCUAUCGUCUUAGGUAGUUGUGAUAGCCGUGUAGGAGUUUACUCUACGACUUCUUGUCAACCAGAAAAAACACAAACGGCAUCAAGGCAUAUAGUGGAGGCCCUGAGGCUCUACAUUAAUACAUUUGGAUGUUGGGCGGUGGGUUUCCAGUAAAGAUUUUAAUGAAGUUAGAUGAGGUUUCACAUCAACUUCUUAUAGUCCUUUAAGCUUUUCGAUCUUAGGAUACAUUCUUACACGCCUUUUCAUGUAUAAUGAAAUUUAAACUUGAUUUGUGAAUAGUAUAGGAUAACGUGAAUCAUGUAUGUCCUAUGAAUCUCACACGUGAGUAAACAUACUGUAAUAUCUCGAAAAAAGUUAAAAUUCAACUCUAAAUUAAAUACGGACGAAUAAUAUUAAACAAAUGAAUUUAUACAAAUUGCAAUAUUAUUUUUCUUUCGGUGCUUGAAAUUUAGAAGUUUGAAUCUUCGUGCACAAAAUAGUUAAAAAAAUAAAAUAAAAGAGGGGAAUUAAAAAUAAAAUACACCUUAUGUCAGUAGUGUCCAAAUGUAGGAGUUGGCACUUGGAACAGAAAAUCAAAACCGAAACACGAAUCGAAUCGAACUGCACCGAACGGUUCAGUUUUGCGGUUUUGAAACUGAACAGCGGCUAAGAAAAUGGUUUGGUUUUGGUUUUGGGUUUUCAAAACUGCACCGAAACCGAAACCGCACCAUAUAUUAAAUGUUAUGUUUUAAUUGGUUCUUUAUUAGAGUCCAUACAUUUAUAAUAUGGACUCAACUACACUAUAAUAGAAUGUCAUCCAAUUUUGCACCUCUAUUCGAGUCCAUACAUGUAUCUCUCUUUCAAAACCCAUGUUCAUCUAUUUGGUCACAUGCAAGAAGCUGUGCAAUCAAUAGUACUCAUAUUGCAAUAGAAUUACUAAUUCCAACCCUUGAUCACAACGCUCCGCACAAUCUAAAUAAGGCACAGAGUUCAUAGAUGUGCUAGAAGCUUGAACCUGAUUAAUGCAGCACACCUGUAAUUAGCAACAUUCUUUCGCUUGAGAAAUGUGCUUCAUAACAGUGCUUAUCUUGAUAUAUAUCUUAAACAAAUUGUGCAGUAUGAAAGAUGUAUACAUAUAUACUUUCUUUAAUGCUUGUGUGUUGUAGAUUGGUGCUAAUGUUGCAUAUGGUCAGACAAAUCUCUCUAUCUCUGACAUCCUUUGCUGCAGUUUUGCUUUUGCUGCUGUUUUUCGCUACAAUUUUGUUGCAGGUUCAUUAAUUAAUGUACGAGGAAAAUGAGAUCAUCUUAUGCGUAAAUAGGUAUAAAUUUAAAAUUGUAACUUUUUUUAAAAAAACCGAAUCAAAACCGUUUGAAAUUGCACCAAACUGAAUCAACCGGUUUGAUUUCAUUUUGCUUUUGGCUUCAAAAUUGCACUGAAUCAAGCCGUAAAAAGUUUCGAUUUUGAUUGUUAUUUCACUUGAAACCGAACCAAACCGUACCGCACCGCUUCCAUCUCUAUCCAAAUGUAUGCCAUGCAAAAGAUCGUUCGAAGAUUUGGGCCCAAUGGACCUUUUUUUUUAAGGAAAACUAAUGAAAAUGGCUUGAAAACUUUGAGUUUUAAUGAUAAGGACAAAAUAAAGGGUAAAGUGAAUAGUACCAAGUUUGACUUUUUAGUGUAAAAAUGUGGUUUUUCGUUAAAGUAAAUAGUACCGUGAGCUUUUCGUUAAAACUCCAUUUUUUUUAACAUUCGGGUCGUCAUAAGUCCACCCUCCGCGAAUUAAAAAUAAUUAUUAAGUUAGUUGUCAAACAUUAAGGAAAUUAAUUAGGGUAAUCGGAACUGUCAGUCCCCGAUUAAUGCCAAUUUCUAAGAAAAUGGUUGGUGGGUACACACAAAUAAACAGACAGAAAAAGCCAAAACAAUCACACCAUUAUUUACUCCAAAUCAUCCCUUAAUUUCCUGCUAGAUUACGGCUUCUGAUUACAACUCAACGAUCAUGUCAAAUCAAUUAACAAAUCCACUAGGAUUCAUUUCUAAUUAGGAAAAAAAAACUUACUAUUUAGCCAUAUAUCAAUAGUCUAUUUUUGUUUUUCGUAUGUAGUGACAGAGUUUCUAACUUUUAAACUUAUCUAAAUAUCACAAUAUAUAGUUGAGUUAUUUAUAAUCAUGCUCACAAGAGCAAUUUACAUGAUACAGUUAUAUAUAAUAAAAAUAAAAAUUAACAUUUAUAUUAUGGAAUUAGUUCAAAACGAGAAGAACGAUAUAUUCUUGCCGUAUAAGUCAUUCUUCCGCGUUAGAAAAUUGAGAUGAGAAUAAUACCAAAAAUAUAGUAAGAUGGAAGACAGCAAAGCUCUUACCCAUCGUCCACUAUUGAGUAGUACGUGUAGCAGACUGCACAAGCAAAAGUCUUUAAACCAAAACAAGAAAUUUGUAAUCAAAACCGACCCAUUCUCCUCCUCUUUCCUUUUCCAAUUUAUUUCCUUGGAUUUCUUUCAAUCGAAACAGAGAGAGAAAAUCGCACACGUAAAUCGUUAUGCCAGCUUGUUUUUCUCUGUUCCCAAACACUACCCAACCGAAAAUCAGAGUAUCAUUCAAAGCGCCACGAAAAUCAGAGUAUCAUUCAAAGCCCCACGAACUCUCCAAUUAAACCCCCAAAAACGUUCGCCUUUUCUCCGCUCAAUUCUCCGCCGUUUCUCCUCCCAUAAACCCUAGAGAUUUCUGCUCUUCUUUUCUCUGUCAAAGUCUGUAUCUUUCUUCCUUUUCAUCCACUUUCUUGUAUUUUUUUCUGAAAAAAAAUGAAGGAACCCCAACUGGGUUUCUGGGGUUCUUUCCCCGUUCUGCUGCUUUUGUUUUUCUCGCUGUACCCACCAGUACACUCCCAGUCCGGCGGUGGCGGCGACGACGGAGGGGCCAUGGAAGCACUCCGGAAAAGCAUCGGCUCCAACAAUCUCGGGUGGUCCGGCACCGAUUACUGCAAAUGGGGAAAAGUGAGUUGCCAGGCCGGCAAGGUUUUCAAAAUCCAAUUGGGUAAUCAGAAACUCACCGGCACGCUGCCGCCGGAAAUCCAAAAGCUUUCGAAUUUGCAGCAACUGGAAGUUCAGAACAACCAACUCACCGGACCUUUUCCGAGCCUCUCCGGGGUGCAACCGCUUCAGGUCCUCCUCGCCCACGACAACAACUUCUCGUCCUUCCCCUCCGAUUUCUUCACCGGACUCACCUCCCUCGUCAACAUCAACAUCGACCACAAUCCCUUCGCUGCGUGGCAGAUUCCCAACACUCUCAAAGGUGCCACACAGCUGAAGGAAUUCUCCGCCACCGAGACCAACAUCACCGGAAGAAUCCCCGAUAUCUUCAGCAGUUCCAAUUUCCCAGGUUUGACUGAUCUACAUUUGGCUUUCAAUUACCUUGAAGGCGAAUUGCCUGCUAGUUUUUCGAGUUCGAGUAUUCAGUCCCUCUGGUUGAACAGCCAACAGGGCACCAAUAGGCUUAAUGGUACUAUUGAUGUGUUACAGAACAUGACUUCUCUGCGUGAGGUUUGGUUACAUGGUAAUUAUUUCACCGGUCCUAUACCGGACCUGUCGAACUUAGGUUACUUGACCACUCUGAGUUUGAGGGAUAACAAGCUCACCGGCGUUGUUCCCGCGUCUUUGUUGAAUCUUAAAUCCCUUACUUCUGUUAAUUUGACCAAUAAUAUGCUUCAAGGACCAAUGCCCAAGUUUGGCGAUGGGGUUCUGGUGGAUAUGUCGGGGUUAAAUAGUUUUUGCAGUGAUAAGCCGGGUGUUGAUUGCGACGCUCGUGUCAAUGUAUUGCUUUCGGUCAUCAAAGACAUGGGUUAUCCUACUGUUUUUGCAGAUAGUUGGAAGGGGAACGAUUCUUGUGAUAACUGGAAGGGAAUUACGUGUAAUGGUGGAAACAUCACUGUUGUCAAUUUUCGGAGCCUGGGUCUUUCGGGUACGAUCUCUUCAAAUUAUUCUCUGCUUACCUCCUUGCAGACAUUGAGACUUGACAAUAAUAACCUCACGGGUACAAUACCAAAGGAGCUUACGCAACUGCCCAACCUUCAACAGAUAGAUGUUAGUAACAAUCAACUUUUUGGUCAAGUACCAAAGUUUAAGAAUGUGGACGUGAAAACUGAUGGGAACCCUAAUAUUGGUCAGGAUCAUCCCCCUUCGCCAGCGACGCCUACAAUUCCUAAUUCACCGCCUG